GCGCCCGUAGCUCAGCUGGAUAGAGCAACUGCCUUCUAAGCAGUAGGUCGACCGUUCAAGUCGGUCCGGGCGUGCCA
rnacentral:tRNA from 1 species